rnacentral:rRNA from 1 species
AGAGUUUGAUCCUGGCUCAGGAUGAACGCUGGCGGCGUGCUUAACACAUGCAAGUCGAACGAUCCUUCGGGAUAGUGGCGGACGGGUGAGUAACGCGUGGGAAUCUGCCCUUAGGAGGGGGAUAACGGCUGGAAACGGCCGCUAAUACCCCAUAUGCCGAGAGGUGAAACGAAUUUCGCCUGAGGAUGAGCCCGCGUCUGAUUAGCUAGUUGGUGGGGUAAAGGCCUACCAAGGCGACGAUCAGUAGCUGGUCUGAGAGGAUGAUCAGCCACACUGGGACUGAGACACGGCCCAGACUCCUACGGGAGGCAGCAGUGGGGAAUUUUCCGCAAUGGGCGAAAGCCUGACGGAGCAACGCCGCGUGAGGGAUGAAGGCCUCUGGGCUGUAAACCUCUUUUCUCAAGGAAGAAGAACUGACGGUACUUGAGGAAUAAGCCACGGCUAAUUCCGUGCCAGCAGCCGCGGUAAUACGGGAGUGGCAAGCGUUAUCCGGAAUUAUUGGGCGUAAAGCGUCCGCAGGCGGCCUUGUAAGUCUGUUGUUAAAGCGUGGAGCUCAACUCCAUUUAAGCAAUGGAAACUACAAGGCUGGAGUGUGGUAGGGGCAGAGGGAAUUCCCGGUGUAGCGGUGAAAUGCGUAGAUAUCGGGAAGAACACCAGUGGCGAAGGCGCUCUGCUGGGCCAUAACCGACGCUCAUGGACGAAAGCCAGGGGAGCGAAAGGGAUUAGAUACCCCUGUAGUCCUGGCCGUAAACGAUGAACACUAGGUGUCGGGGGAAUCGACCCCCUCGGUGUCGUAGCCAACGCGUUAAGUGUUCCGCCUGGGGAGUACGCACGCAAGUGUGAAACUCAAAGGAAUUGACGGGGGCCCGCACAAGCGGUGGAGUAUGUGGUUUAAUUCGAUGCAACGCGAAGAACCUUACCAGGGUUUGACAUCCUGCGAAUCCCUUGGAAACGAGGGAGUGCCUUCGGGAGCGCAGUGACAGGUGGUGCAUGGCUGUCGUCAGCUCGUGUCGUGAGAUGUUGGGUUAAGUCCCGCAACGAGCGCAACCCACGUCUUUAGUUGCCAGCAUUCAGUUGGGCACUCUAGAGAGACCGCCGGUGAUAAACCGGAGGAAGGUGUGGAUGACGUCAAGUCAUCAUGCCCCUUACAUCCUGGGCUACACACGUACUACAAUGCUACGGACAAAGGGCAGCAAGCUCGCGAGAGUUAGCAAAUCCCAUAAACCGUGGCUCAGUUCAGAUCGUAGGCUGCAACUCGCCUACGUGAAGGAGGAAUCGCUAGUAAUCGCAGGUCAGCAUACUGCGGUGAAUACGUUCCCGGGCCUUGUACACACCGCCCGUCACGCCAUGGAAGUUGGCCAUGCCCGAAGUCGUUACUCCAACCCUUGUGGAGGAGGACGCCGAAGGUGGGGCUGAUGACUGGGGUGAAGUCGUAACAAGGUA